GCUGUGGCGGGUGGAGAAGGAAGAGGAAGAGCAGGCCAGGCGGGCUGCAGGCCCCUAAUCAGGGCCUGGUCGCCCGCCUGGUCUCCACAUCCAUCUCUGGGGGGCAGACGGGCCUGGCGACAGGUUUCCUGGAACCCGGAAGCGCCGAUGCCACACCUGCUUCAGGUCCCUUCCCUUUCCGACAUUCCACCCACAUAGCCAGGAGAAACUAAUCUGCUUCCUUUGGCCAGCUAAGGAGCCGAGGAUUCCCCAUCCUCCAGCCCUGUUCGGACCCAGCUCUCCCUCCAGUUCCUGGACCCCCGCCUCUCUUUUGGUUCCGUCUCCCCAGGACACGGCAGGACGCGGGCGGGUGUGUGCGUGACCCAGGCGGAGGCCGCCUGGGGAGGUCCGGGCGCGCACUCCCAGGUCCAGUCCCAGGCAGCGCCUCCUCCACAGGUGGAGGCCCCGCAGUCCCCCCCCCCCCAAUCCGGUGACCUCGGGACAGAGGGCGCAGAAGGCGAGGAACCUACUGGGCUUUGGGCCGCCUCAGGGAAGCCUGUUUCGGAGGAGGCAGGAGGCGGCGGCUCCCGGGGGUCAUCGGGUUUUCCGUCCGGCUCAGCAAGGCUGCAGCUGCUCCAGCCUUAAACACGAUGUUGGUAAACGACGGCGGUGUGAUGAGGGUCAUAGGUGGUGCCCGGCUGCGAGGCCUGCUCCUCCCAGCCUUCCAGCCCCGCCAGGUGACCCCCGGGGGCGAACUCCCCGCGCCCCCUGCUGGAGGCCCGGAGACGCAGCGCGCAUGCGUGAGCCACGCGGAUACGGAAGACCUUGACCUCGGCUUCAGUAAUAAAAGUUUAUUGAGAA